UUGUAUAUAUUAUGAAAUAUUCAUGUGAAAAAAUAGAUAACACUAUUUUCUAUGUAAGACAUCAUCAUCAAUCAUAUAUUUGAAAGGUUUCAUUGAGUAGCAUGUUAACCAGGCACAACCUUCUUAAAGAUAGUUUUAUUCUUUAUUCUUCUGGGUUUUAUUCUUUCUAAAGUGACCACAUUUUUGCCACCAUGCCUACCUCCAUUUAAAGGCAUUCUUGGGUCAAAUAAUUCUAGCUGUCUGAUAAGUCAGAAGUUGAAUAUCAUCUUCUGCAAUGUCUGUUUCCAAAACAAAUUCUUACUAUUUUAUCACUGUUUAGUAAACAUAAUAGUGCAUUGUAGUCUCCUUUGAUUUUUUUUAUUUUUUUUUCCCACAGUCAUAAAAAAUUGAAAAGGAAAGCUGUAGUGGAUCAAGUUGAAUUACUGAAUUUGAAUACCAAGUUUUUUAUCUUCAUGACAGGUUCCUCUAUUGUAUUAGAAUGUACAAGACCAUAAUUUCUGUCCUGACACAAAUGUGAAUACACAGUUUGGGAAUGUAACACAGCGUGUAAAGUGCUUCAAGAAUUGAAAGAUGGGUUGGUGAGGGAGAAGUUUUCUACUUAUUGCCAUGAAGUCACAUUCAAAUUUGUACAAAGCACGUGGGAUUUGCAGAAUUCCCAUUGCCUAUGGAACUGUUUUGGAAACUUACUGCUCCUUUCCAUAAUGUCAGCGUGUAGAUUUAAAAGUAUUAAACGAACUUACAAUGAUUACAGCAAUGUGACAAUUUAUGCUUUUGUUAGACCCACUUCUUGGCAUAUCCUUCUCUCUAUACCCAGUUCCUCUUCAGUGUUUUCUGCAAAACUGUGUAAAGAGAUUUUCUUCAAAUAAAAGCUUUGUUGCCAUCAUUAUUACUAUUGAAUCCUGUCUCAUGUUUACAGUGUUUGGUUUUCUAUUUGUUUGUUUUUAAUGUGGUUCUUUCACUGCUUUUCAACUGUUUUAUCAAUUGUUCUACAGUGUGGUUAGAUGGGAGAACAUAGUAUGGGUAACACAUGUUGUUCACAGAUCACUGUGAUAAUGCAGAAAGAUUGUGAAGCCUGAAAGAAAACCGUAUUUUGUGUGAUACAGACUUUCCUAAGGGCAAAUACUCUUUUUUCCCUUGUUAUGUCUGUAGCUGUUAGAUAAAUGUUGUCUGACCAUGUUGAAUUCAUUCUGCUCCAUUUUUCCAUUUGCGAUUUGCAUAGUAGACUUUGUUCUCUUGCACGUAUUUCAAAAACACUGUAGUGAAAUGUAGAAAUGUAAAUAUUCUCAUCCUGACUUCCAGCCUAAGCAGCUGAGGCCACCAAAUAAAAAGCCUCUUUCACAGCUGCUAGUUGGUGGGUAUUGUGCAAGCCGGUCCGUGCUUUGAUACAGCAGCUCAUGCAGAAAGCGUAUUGCAAUGUGAAACGUGAAUUUAUAGCAAAACUUCGUGAACUUAGGUUGGUAAAACAGGUUGGGGGUGGGGAAGUAAGCAAGCUGCUGUGAACUCCUAUAAAGUACAGAAAACUUCUUUCCCUCCUUUCUAACAAGUGUAAACUCUUGAGGUUAAGUAGGUGGGGCAACCGGAAGUAAUUACUAAGGCCAGUGGCAUUUUUGCGGUUUAAUAAAGGCAGAAGCUAAUUAUUCAGUUUUUAUUUAAGUGAAAUGAUGCCAAAAAGGAGGUUCCUGCCGAGCAGCUGCACUCCUUCAGUGUUACCCUAAUUUACCACAGACACAACUGUCACAAACAGAACUUUUAAACUUGAUAUAUAGCCACGAAAGUAAGGAGCCCUUUGUCCAGAGUGCAUGCAGAAGAACUCCUUUAUACAAAUCAACCGGCAGAUGACGGACAAUGAUGAAAAUUUGAUUCUUUGAAGUCAUAAUGGUCAUUGAAAUGUGUGAAAUUCUGGUAUUGAAAAGAGAGCGGCUAGCAAGACUCUAAAUCCUGGGUGGUUGCGGGAAGCUUGCUGGGAGGUUUUUCUGUGUUUUGACAUCAACUUCCCAUUGCUUGUUCCCUGUUUCCUUUAUUA